AACGAACGCUGGCGGCAGGCCUCAAACAUGCAAGUCUAGGGGGUGCAGCAAUGCAUCACCGGCGGACGGGUGCGUAACGCGUGGGAAUAUACCUAUUGGUUCGGAACAACUGCGGGAAACUGCAGCUAAUACCGAAUGUGCCCUAACGGGGAAAGAUUUAUCGCCAAUGGAUUAGCCCGCGUAGGAUUAGCUAGUUGGUGGGGUAAUGGCUCACCAAGGCUCCGAUCCUUAGCUGUUCUGAGAGGAAGAUCAGCCACACUGGGACUGAGACACGGCCCAGACUCCUACGGGAGGCAGCAGUUGGGAAUCUUGGACAAUGGGGGAAACCCUGAUCCAGCCAUGCCGCGUGAGUGAUGAAGGCCUUC
rnacentral:rRNA from 1 species